GACGAACGCUGGCGGCGUGCUUAACACAUGCAAGUCGAACGGCAAGGCCCUGCUUUUGUGGGGUGCUCGAGUGGCGAACGGGUGAGUAACACGUGAGUAACCUGCCCUUGACUUUGGGAUAACUUCAGGAAACUGGGGCUAAUACCGGAUAGGAGCUCCUGCUGCAUGGUGGGGGUUGGAAAGUUUCGGCGGUUGGGGAUGGACUCGCGGCUUAUCAGCUUGUUGGUGGGGUAGUGGCUUACCAAGGCUUUGACAGGUAGCCGGCCUGAGAGGGUGACCGGCCACAUUGGUACUGAGAGACGGCCCAGACUCCUACGGGAGGCAGCAGUGGGGAAUAUUGCACAAUGGGCGGAAGCCUGAUGCAGCAACGCCGCGUGCGGGAUGACGGCCUUCUGGUUGUAAACCGCUUUCGCCUGUGACGAAGCGUGAGUGACGGUAAUGGGUAAAGAAGCACCGGCUAACUACGUG
rnacentral:rRNA from 1 species